AUUGAACGCUGGCGGCAGGCCUAACACAUGCAAGUCGAGCGGAUGAGAGGAGCUUGCUUCUCGAUUCAGCGGCGGACGGGUGAGUAAUGCCUAGGAAUCUGCCUGGUAGUGGGGGACAACGUUUCGAAAGGAACGCUAAUACCGCAUACGUCCUACGGGAGAAAGCAGGGGACCUUCGGGCCUUGCGCUAUCAGAUGAGCCUAGGUCGGAUUAGCUAGUUGGUGAGGUAAUGGUUCACCAAGGCGACGAUCCGUAACUGGUCUGAGAGGAUGAUCAGUCACACUGGAACUGAGACACGGUCCAGACUCCUACGGGAGGCAGCAGUGGGGAAUAUUGGACAAUGGGCGAAAGCCUGAUCCAGCCAUGCCGCGUGUGUGAAGAAGGUCUUCGGAUUGUAAAGCACUUUAAGUUGGGAGGAAGGGUUGUAGAUUAAUACUCUGCAAUUUUGACGUUACCGACAGAAUAAGCACCGGCUAACUCUGUGCCAGCAGCCGCUGUAACAC
rnacentral:rRNA from 1 species